GUGGGGAAUUUUGGACAAUGGGCGAAAGCCUGAUCCAGCCAUGCCGCGUGCAGGAUGAAGGCCUUCGGGUUGUAAACUGCUUUUGUACGGAACGAAAAGACUCUGGUUAAUACCUGGGGUCCAUGACGGUACCGUAAGAAUAAGCACCGGCUAACUACGUGCCAGCAGCCGCGGUAAUACGUAGGGUGCAAGCGUUAAUCGGAAUUACUGGGCGUAAAGCGUGCGCAGGCGGUUAUAUAAGACAGAUGUGAAAUCCCCGGGCUCAACCUGGGAACUGCAUUUGUGAGUGUAUAGCUAGAGUACGGCAGAGGGGGAUGGAAUUCCGCGUGUAGCAGUGAAAUGCGUAGAUAUGCGGAGGAACACCGAUGGCGAAGGCAAUCCCCUGGGCCUGUACUGACGCUCAUGCACGAAAGCGUGGGGAGCAAACAGGAUUAGAAACCCGGGUAGUCC
rnacentral:rRNA from 1 species